rnacentral:rRNA from 1 species
GGCGAGCGGCGGACGGGUGAGUAAUGCCUGGGAAUAUGCCCUGAUGUGGGGGAUAACUAUUGGAAACGAUAGCUAAUACCGCAUAAUCUCUUCGGAGCAAAGAGGGGGACCUUCGGGCCUCUCGCGUCAGGAUUAGCCCAGGUGGGAUUAGCUUGUUGGUGAGGUAAUGGCUCACCAAGGCAACGAUCCCUAGCUGGUCUGAGAGGAUGAUCAGCCACACUGGAACUGAGACACGGUCCAGACUCCUACGGGAGGCAGCAGUGGGGAAUAUUGCACAAUGGGGGAAACCCUGAUGCAGCCAUGCCGCGUGUGUGAAGAAGGCCUUCGGGUUGUAAAGCACUUUCAGUAGGGAGGAAGGUAGUGUAGUUAACACCUGCAUUAUUUGACGUUACCUACAGAAGAAGCACCGGCUAACUCCGUGCCAGCAGCCGCGGUAAUACGGAGGGUGCGAGCGUUAAUCGGAAUUACUGGGCGUAAAGCGCAUGCAGGCGGCCUGUUAAGUCAGAUGUGAAAGCCCGGGGCUUAACCUCGGAAUUGCAUUUGAAACUGGCAGGCUAGAGUCUUGUAGAGGGGGGUAGAAUUUCAGGUGUAGCGGUGAAAUGCGUAGAGAUCUGAAGGAAUACCAGUGGCGAGGGCGGCCCCCUGGACAAAGACUGACGCUCAGAUGCGAAAGCGUGG